AGCUCUCCCCUCUUGCUGUCUGCUGGCUUCAAGCCUCCAGGAUACCAGGAGGUCAGAAUAUUGUCAGGAAUCAGAAUGCAGAAAGGAGAGAAGAGCCUCAUCAACUGUGAUGUGUACAGCCACAUUAGGUUCCUGUGAGCCUCUGGGCACAUUUCAUCAGCUGGUGCUCAAUUAAUGCCCAAUAGCUCAGGAAAGAUCCUUCUGCUAAACUGGGAUGGAGCAGAACCAGAAACUUGUGGAUAGCCAUUAAAGCCUUGUGUGGAAUGUGACCUACAUCUUUGGGAACUUUUACAUGUAUGUUGAAUGUUGACUUGUUUUUAAGUCAAUCACUGGAUUCCUACUGCUGUCUGAAAUGGUAGGUAUGCUGUAACAUUUUUACACCUGAAGAGAUUAUGCCAUUUAUUCAGGAGAACUUAUUUUUUUACUAGUUAGGUUAGGAGAGGACAUAGGAAAAAGUGGGAGAGGCCGAAUGCUAAUAGAUCUCAGCCUUGAGGACAUACCAGGGCGAUGGGUAACACAUAGCAUGAGUUACUGCCAGAAUUCAAAUGUGCCUGCUAUGUGUCUGGCCAUAGGUAUUUCAAGUCACAUCUCCUCCUGUCCAUGCAGGAGGAAGAAGCAGAAGGCCCUGAAUACUUACUUACUCUUACCCUCUCUCCUUCUGCCUUGAUGUGACACGUCUCACACACACACACACACACACACACACACACACACACACACACACACACAAUCUCAGUUGUGCUUUCCUUUGCUAACUCUUUUAACAAACCUGUGGUUUUAUAGAUCUGUAUGUUUCAGUCAAAUUGUAGUCCCUUUUGGAUCAUUGAACUCAGAG